AUGGAAAGGAAGAAAGUAGAAGAGGAGCAAACAUGGAGCAGAGAAACAAUCCCAAAAGUAAUGAAGAUAGUGAGCACAACAAUUUCUCAAAAAGACGUUAUUUCUCUUCUACUUGUCAGUCCUUGGCUUCACCACUCUCUCAUCUCUUACCCAUCUCUCUGGCUGGCUCUUGAUUUUCGUGAGAUGAAUAAGGCUGGAGAUAGAUUAAUAUCCGCUCUUUCACUGCCAAGAUACCGGCAUGUGAAGCAGAUUAAUCUUGAAUUUGCACAAGAUAUUGAAGACAGACAUCUUCAAGUAAUUCAAAGCAAGGCUAGCAGUUCUCUUCAAAACCUGGAGUCCUUAAACCUUAAUGGUUGCCAGAAGAUCUCUGACAAAGGAAUAGAAGCUAUAACCAGUGCUUGUCCAAAUUUGAAGGUCUUUUCUAUUUAUUGGAAUGUAAGGGUAACAGAUGUUGGUAUAAAGCAGUUGGUGGAGAAUUGCAAACAUAUAGUUGACUUGAACUUGAGUGGCUGUAAGAACAUAUCAGACAAAAGUUUGCAAUUAGUUGCUGAUCUAUAUCAAGACAUAGAGUUAUUGGACCUGACUAGGUGCAUCAAGCUCACAGACGAUGGCUUGCAACAGAUAUUGUCCAAGUGCUCCUCUCUCAAGAGUUUAAAUCUCUACGCCCUGUCCACUUUCACUGACAAAGCUUACAGGAAUAUAUCAAAUCUGGCCCAUCUAAGAAUUUUAGAUUUAUGUGGAGCCCAGAAUCUAUCUGAUGAAGGACUUUCAUGUAUAGCUAAAUGCAAGAAUCUCACCUCACUCAAUUUGACAUGGUGCGUUCGAGUUACUAAUGCGGGGGUUAUAGCUAUUGCUGAAGGUUGCACCUAUCUUGAGUUUCUUAGAAUGAUGCAGCUUGUUUGGAAUAGUUGGUGUGACUGACAAAUGCCUGGAAGCCCUUUCAAGGUCCUGCUCAAACACAAUCACAACCCUCGAUGUUAAUGGAUGCAUUGGCAUAAAGCUUUUAGAUCAUAACUGGAAAACCUUAGUAACUUCCUUGGCCCAAAAGGGGAAAACAGAAGGUACUACAGUAUUUUGAUCACAAAGGGUCGAUAGUAAGAAUGCUGGUUGUUAUUUACUUGAAAUGGCCAAAUUAUGUAUUUGUGCCACCUGCAACAAAUAAAAUAAGGACCAAAACCUCGCUAGGAAAAUUUCUUCUAAAUAUCAUCAUGUGGUAAUAUUCUUUCCUAUUGUAUGAUAUAUUAUUUAUCUAUCAACUUAAUUACUUCUAUACUAUUUAAUGAUAUGAUGUAGACUAUGAAUUACUACCAUUUUAUGGUUAUUUAUGCUAUAACUUAAUUUUGAUACAAGUAUACUGUAACUGCCAAUCAUCUAUGCAUUCAAGAUGGUUUUCUAUGUAUUAGCACUAUGGAUUGUUGUCACUUCAGUUGCUAGUGCUACUACAUGACUGUUGGAAUUUGGAAAACAUGACGAGCAAAAGUUGUAUUUAUGUGAAUGCACUUGCAUGCGCGUGAGAACAUGCUCAAAGUUCCAUUUCAGACUAAGCUUAGUUCUUUUUCUCUCUAUAUUUUCUGAGAUUGUUAAGUCUUUCGGAAUUUUUUUAUCCCCCCUGUAUUUUCUACCGGUUAGUUAAUG